CUUGCACCUUUCAAGUGAGUGGCGAACGGGUGAGUAACACGUGGACAACCUGCCUCAAGGCUGGGGAUAACAUUUGGAAACAGAUGCUAAUACCGAAUAAAACUUAGUGUCGCAUGACAAAAAGUUAAAAGGCGCUUCGGCGUCACCUAGAGAUGGAUCCGCGGUGCAUUAGUUAGUUGGUGGGGUAAAGGCCUACCAAGACAAUGAUGCAUAGCCGAGUUGAGAGACUGAUCGGCCACAUUGGGACUGAGACACGGCCCAAACUCCUACGGGAGGCUGCAGUAGGGAAUCUUCCACAAUGGGCGAAAGCCUGAUGGAGCAACGCCGCGUGUGUGAUGAAGGCUUUCGGGUCGUAAAGCACUGUUGUAUGGGAAGAACAGCUAGAAUAGGAAAUGAUUUUAGUUUGACGGUACCAUACCAGAAAGGGACGGCUAAAUACGUGCCAGCAGCCGCGGUAAUACGUAUGUCCCGAGCGUUAUCCGGAUUUAUUGGGCGUAAAGCGAGCGCAGACGGUUUAUUAAGUCUGAUGUGAAAGCCCGGAGCUCAACUCCGGAAUGGCAUUGGAAACUGGUUAACUUGAGUGCAGUAGAGGUAAGUGGAACUCCAUGUGUAGC
rnacentral:rRNA from 1 species